CACAAGAGCAAUAACCAUUUGGAAAAAGAUGCCCCAGCUUCUAUCUAAAAGGAGAAGCUCGCUCCCCCCAGCUUUUAGAAGCCAGAAGUUGGCCGAGCACUGUAGCGGUCUUUACUGUACAUUAAUGAAUUUUUAAAAUCCCAGUUUCUACCCUCCGUUGGUUGAACCAAUUACACUCAUCUGCCAUGAAACCCUCGAUCUCCCUCUAAUCACAGAACGCUGUAAUCGCCGCAUCUCGAUCUCCCUCUAACGCUGCCUCACUUGCAUCUCAUCAGGAUUUCGGAUGUGAAAUUGAAGCCUCAAUCAAGCAAGGCUACUUGGCAGUUUCGAUAUUCAGGAGCUCAAUCCGGCCAAUUUUAAUAGAGCAUCGAACCUUACAAAGGUCCGAGACAACAUUUUCAAGAAUACCGUAGGCAAGAACCAAGAAAUGAAAAAGAGGUAUUUAACCAAGCACACUCUUCUCUUAGAAGCGUUAUAGAAUGCACAUUUGGAGUUUGGAAAAAAAAGUGGAAGAUUUUAAGGGACAUGCAAGGUUAUUCAUUUGACAAGCAAGUGAAGAUUGUCAUUGCCACCAUGACACUUCAUAAUUAUAUACGGAGACAUGCACAUGGUGAUAGACAUUUUGUCUGCAGUGAAGAAAGAGAAGGUUAUGGGUCAAGUGGUGGGAUAGAAAUGGAUGAUAAUGUAGAAGAAGAAUAUCAUGGUCAUGGUGCACAAGAAAUGGAAACAAUAAGAAAUAGCAUUACUCAAAGUUUGAUGAAUGUGCGUAAUAACGUGAACAUUUGAAUAUGUUAGGAUAUUUGAUGUGAGCCGGAUUAAUGUUACUAAUAUAUUUGUAUAAGUUA